AUUGAACGCUGGCGGCAUGCUUUACACAUGCAAGUCUAACGGCAGCGCGGGCUUCGGCCUGGCGGCGAGUGGCGAACGGGUGAGUAAUGCAUCGGAACGUGCCCAGUAGUGGGGGAUAGCCCGGCGAAAGCCGGAUUAAUACCGCAUACGACCUGAGGGUGAAAGCGGGGGACCGAAAGGCCUCGCGCUAUUGGAGCGGCCGAUGUCGGAUUAGCUAGUUGGUGGGGUAAAGGCUUACCAAGGCGACGAUCCGUAGCUGGUCUGAGAGGACGACCAGCCACACUGGGACUGAGACACGGCCCAGACUCCUACGGGAGGCAGCAGUGGGGAAUUUUGGACAAAGGGGGCAACCCUGAUCCAGCCAUGCCGCGUGCGGGAAGAAGGCCUUCGGGUUGUAAACCGCUUUUGUUCGGGAAGAAAUCCUCUGGGCUAAUACCCCGGGGGGAUGACGGUACCGGAAGAAUAAGCACCGGCUAACUACGUG
rnacentral:rRNA from 1 species